rnacentral:rRNA from 1 species
UACGUAGGCAGCAAGCGUUGUUCGGAGUUACUGGGCGUAAAGGGUGCGUAGGCGGUCCGCUAAGUUGGAUGUGAAAACUCUGGGCUUAACCCAGAGCCUGCAUUCAAAACUGACGGGCUAGAGUCUGGAGGGGGUAGCGGAAUUCCUGGUGUAGCGGUGAAAUGCGUAGAUAUCUGGAGGAACACCGGUGGCGAAGGCGGCGUCCUGGACCAACACUGACACUGAUGAGCGGAAAGCCAGGGGAGCAAACGGG